rnacentral:rRNA from 1 species
AAUGAACGCUGGCGGCAGGCCUAACACAUGCAAGUCGAACGAGUAGCGGACGGGUGAGUAAUGUAUGGGAAACUGCCAGCUGGAGGGGGAUAACGACGGGAAACGGUAGCUAAUAACGCAAACCCACGGAUGAGGCCAGAUGGGAAUAGCUAGUUGGUGGGGUAACGGCUAACCGAGGCGACGAUCCCUAGCUGGUCUGAGAGGAUGAACUGCCACACUGGAAAUGAGACACGGCCCAGACUCCUACGGUAGGCAGCAGUGGGGAAUAUUUCGCAAUGGACGAAAGUCUGAUGUAGCCAUGCCGCGUGUGUGAAGAAGUCCUUCGGGUUGUAAAGUCCUUUCUGCGGAGAGGCGUUACCCACAGAAGAAGCACCGGCUAACUCCGUGCCAGCAGCCGCGGUAAUAC